UACGGAGGGGGCUAGCGUUGUUCGGAAUUACUGGGCGUAAAGGGCGCGUAGGCGGUCGGGUGUGUCGGGCGUGAAAGCCCCUGGCUCAACCAGGGAAUUGCGUCCGAAACUGCCCGACUCGAGUCCGGGAGAGGAGAGCGGAAUUCCCAGUGUAGCGGUGAAAUGCGUAGAUACUGGGAGGAACACCGGUGGCGAAGGCGGCUCUCUGGACCGGUACUGACGCUGAGGCGCGAAAGCUAGGGGAGCAAACAGG
rnacentral:rRNA from 1 species